rnacentral:rRNA from 1 species
CAGCCGCCGCGGUAAUACGGAGGGUGCAAGCGUUAAUCGGAAUUACUGGGCGUAAAGCGCACGCAGGCGGUCUGUCAAGUCAGAUGUGAAAUCCCCGGGCUUAACCUGGGAACUGCAUUUGAAACUGGCAGGCUAGAGUCUUGUAGAGGGGGGUAGAAUUCCAGGUGUAGCGGUGAAAUGCGUAGAGAUCUGGAGGAAUACCGGUGGCGAAGGCGGCCCCCUGGACAAAGACUGACGCUCAGGUGCGAAAGCGUCGGGAGCAAACAGGAUUAGAUACCCGCGUAGUCCCUGUCUCUUAUAC